AGCUUUGCGCAGUGGCAGUAUCGUAGCCAAUGAGGUUUAUCCGAGGCGCGAUUAUUGCUAAUUGAAAACUUUUCCCAAAUUUGGCUCAAAAUGGUGGAGUUGUGUUUUUGUUUGUUUUUUUGUUUGUUUUCUGGUAAA